ACACCUCAACUCUCAUGGUCUUCCAUGACGAGCUUGGACUUUGGAGGUUUGCUGGCCCUGCGGCCGGCUCCUCUCAAACAAAUCAGCUUGCCAGUGUUUGGCGGCAUCUCACGGGUGUGAUAACUAUCUACGCUCGCGGUUGUCUGCCAGGUAACCCUCAGCGAUGAAGGUUCAUUGGGGCUCAUAAACGUCUCUCCUCGGCGAGGACAGCUUUUGAAC
rnacentral:misc_RNA from 1 species